rnacentral:rRNA from 1 species
GGGGAAUUUUGCGCAAUGGGGGAAACCCUGACGCAGCGACGCCUCGUGAGUGAUGAAGUUCUUCGGGAUGUAAAGCUCUGUCGGCGGGGACGAUUAUGACGGUACCCGCAAAGGAAGCUCCGGCUAACUACGUGCCAGCAGCCGCGGUAAUACGUAGGGAGCGAGCGUUGUCCGGAUUUAUUGGGCGUAAAGCGUGCGUAGGUGGUUGAAUAAGUUAGAUGUUAAAGGCAUGGGCUUAACUCAUGUUUGCGUCUAAAACUGUUUGACUGGAGGACGGGAGAGGAAAGCGGAACUCACAGUGUAGCGGUGAAAUGCGUAGAUAUUGUGAGGAACACCAGUGGCGAAGGCGGCUUUCUGGACCGUUUCUGACGCUGAGGCACGAAAGCAUGGGGAGCAAAC